rnacentral:snoRNA from 1 species
CUUUGCAUUUAUUUGCUGCUGUUGUCUCUGAGUGAUAUGAGCAGUUAUACGCAUGGGAUAAAAUAAUAUUGGGCUAUUGUAAAUCAAAAUGGAGUAACCAUUUCAUCUCUUCUCCAUGGUUUAGACAUUG